CGCAGUCAGUACUUCAACGAAUAUAUCGACGAAGCCACGUAUUCGGUCGGUCCGUCGGCGUCACUGGCCUCGUUCGUAAUGCUAAAUACGUCAUUUAAAGAUUUAUAUAAUACAACAGCUGAUUGCAAAGACCGGACAAAUUAUCUCUACGUUUGAUUGUUUACGUUUUCAAAGACAGGAUAACCCAAAUAUCGCUGGCGUGUUGAUAGGCCUCUCUCUUAUUGCAUUACCUGUACGAAUAUUUUUUUACUCCUACUGCCUGCGAUUUCCUCAGUUACGGUCUUACAGCGAACACGGAAGUUUGUAGUACUCUAAUAGUGUCUACCUGUGAAAUAUAAAUCAUUUUCGCAUUCUUAAUAGCUCCAUUUGACUCUAAACAUCAAGGUAGGGAACUCGGAAAGUGACACAUGCUAGCCCGGAAAGAAAGUGGAUAAUCAGUGUUUGAAGGAAGAAAGAGUACCGCUCGGAGUACCGUCUUGAACCCUAACUUUGGAGAAGAAAGGCAUUUUUAACGUGCUUACCUGUACCUGAAAUGUAUUUCAUUCCUUUUUGACGGUUUCGGUAUGAUACCCAGGCAUUUAUAAAAAAAAACAAGUUUAAACCUCACAUCAGUCGACAAUACUAAACUGGAGUGGUGGUCGCAUGCGCAAAUGUUUAAUUAUAACCAGGAAGUCGAAAUUAGGCGAGAUUAGAAUGAAUGUUUCCACUCGAAUCAAAUAUGGAAGGGUUCCAGCAUCUGAUAAUGAAUACAGUUCAUCCACUCUUCGUCUGGUACAGUGAUAGUAGGUUUACCCCUAUGCGUGCCAAUGAGAAAGCAAUCCAAGCAGAAUACAAAUAACUUUUAUAAUUGA